AAAUUCAGUGGAAUAGACCUUUAGUGAACAGCUGAAUCAAAUGCUAACUUCAACACUCUCAAAAAAAUGUACAUUAUUUUUCCGCUCUGUCAUAUUAUCUUAAAUAACUGUACAUUAUUUGACAAGUGUUUACUUAACCGUAUUGCUACUAAGUUUACGUAAAGAAUUCAAUGACACAAUUUUAGAAUGUGAAAGAGGAAGAUCCCAGCUGUGCCCUUUGUUGUUGGCGUUGUUGGGUAAAACUGCCGGACAGGUUAAACAGGUGACAAGGUGUCAGGUUUCGGCGGCUGGUUUCUCCCACACAAGACACAGAGAGGCGGACAACAUACGAUCUUGGUCCGGAUUUACUUAUUUAAUACCAAACAUUCGCCUUCCUAACAAAUCGCCCAGCCAUGGGACAGAAGUAUGACGGGUUGUCCCAUUGUAAGCUCGCUCUGGUGUUUGCCGUGGUGAUGGACGUGCUGGGUGCGACGUCCCUGCUGGUAGGCGUCUUCGCUUCCCUAGAGAUCCAGGGCGAAGACUUUGGGGAUCUGCUGGUGUACUCCGGAGCUCUGUUGGUGCUGUUUUCCAUGGCCGGCUGGGUGCUUUGGUAUAGCGGCAACAUCGAAGGUCUGCAUUUACAAAAAGACCCGCGUGGACGGAUGGGUUCUGCUAUGGACCGACUGGCUCGCUCGGUCAGCCGGAGGAUGAGGCUCCCCACGCUGCGCAGCAGUCCCAGUUAAACGGUGGAGGCAUCGGCCUGGUUUUGAGUCUUGUUGAGCCAAAUGACUUGAAACAAAAGCAGAAUUCAGGGCUUUUCCUUCUGUCGGUUUUUUGAUUAGAAAAAGGCCCGUCAACCUUUACAGAAUAUGUAUGUUUUGAUUAAGUAUGCACACAUGCACUAGUUUAUGUAGUCUUUGAUAUUAAAACUAUCAAUGAAUGUCUUUUCUCAGCUGCCUCGUUAAGUUAUUCUUUGCUACAGGUAUAGCUCAAUAAUUUAAAACGUCCUCAAAAAGUUAAUUUCAGUAAAUCUGUUCAAAAAGUUAUGCUCACAUAUAUUCGUUGUAAAUAGAGUAAUAUAUUUCAAUAUAUAUUUAUUGCUACUUAUUUUUGAUGAUUAUGGGUCUCACUCGAUGAAAACCCAAACCCUUUGGGUCAGCUAAUACGUUAAAGAACCACAAGUUGCUUUAAUAGUGGCCUCCAGUUUGUCUGCAUUGCUGCGUCUGGUGUCCUCAUCUUCCACUUGACGAUCCCCUGGAGCAAUGGUUCCCAGUCCUGGUCCUCAAGUACCCCUGCCCUGCAUCGUUUAAAUGUUUCCUUGCUUCCAAACACCUGACUUAAAUGGAUGGUGGAUAAAAAGGUUUCCACAGCAUUUGGUGUUUGCAGAGGCGAUCAUUUGGAUCAGGUGUGCUGGAGCAGAGACUCAUCUCAUCUCAACAUGCAGGGCAGGGGUACUUGAGGAACAGGUUUGGUAGCCAAUGCUCUAGAUUGGGGUUCAGGUCAGACCAGUUUGCAUGUCAAUCAAGUAUAGCAACACCAUGAUCAUUAAAGCUGGUAUUGAUGCUUGUGGCAGUCUGGGCAGGUCCAAGGUUCUGCUGGGAAAUGAAAACAUCCUCAUCAAGCUCGUCAGUAAAGGGAAGCGUGCUCUAACAGUUCCUGUAACAGAUUAUGGACUUCUUUUGUUUUGUUUUUAAUAAGACAUACAAUAAAAAACACCAGCAGAUGAUAUGGAACCCCAAAUCAUCUGAGGAUCUUCACACUAAAAAAAAGUGUUUCAUUCAUGUUUUUUUCUCUCAAAGUCAUAAAUAUAAAUUUUUUUAAAUUUGACUUUGUGCUAUAAAAUGGCACAACAUGCCUGGAAAAUACCCACCACACCAAAUGCUCAAGAAACUCUUUCAAGGGAGACCUGAAAAUAAGCUCUGGUUAUCCCUACUGCUUGUGUACCUACUACACUUUUUCCUUCCACUGAACUUUACAUUACUACAAAGCAGUCUGAACAGCCAGCUUCUUUUUAGUGGCUUACCCUUUUUGCCAAAUGUGUUAUCAACUCUCUACUGGAAAACAAUGUCAAGUCAGUAAAUAAUAAUAACAACAAAAAAUCUACAUCUAAAGCAGUUGAAAGUAAUAUUGUAAUUUCCAGAGUCGCAAAUUUUUAAACAUGCUUAAGCUGGAAGCUAUCAUCAGAAAUAAAGACUUGAAAUAUAGCAUUGUGUGUUUUACCUUAACUGAUUUGGUUUUUUAAAUACAUUUUAAUUUAGUGACAUGAAUCUGGAUAGAGAUUUACACAAUAACAUAAAAAAUGACCAAUGCUGCAAGAUUUGAUUGAGAACCUAUACUUUAGUCUGUCCAAGAAAAAAAAAAAAAGAAAAAAAAAAGGAGGCUUCUGUGAUACGUUUGCUUAAACUUGUAAUGCCACACUAAUACUGUACACGACACUUUAAAGAACAUCUCUCCCUUAUUUUACAAGCACUAAGAAAUCACAUGAAACACUUUGAUUCAUUAGGCAAACAACAGGAAAAAUAAAUAAUUUCUUAAAGAGAUUCAAGAGAACAUUUUACACAGACGCAUUUAUAAUGUGCAAGUUGUUGCAAUUACUCCACUUGGACUUAAGAGGCAGGAUUUGAUACCUGUCCCAGGACACAAGACCACACAUCAAGUUCCCAGUUUGAAUGCAGCGUCAAAAGAUUCUGACAUGAUUGUCUUUAUGCUUAAAGAAGAAACAAACCCGCAUCCAGUAUGCCAGUGAAGUUAUGCAAACCAAGAUAAACCAAGCUUCAUGAUCCAAGGAUGGAGGAUUGUUCUACUGGAGAUCUCAGUGUUUGUGAACCUGAAUUCAUCGCUUGUGCAAAAGUUUAUCAGAUUAAAACAAAAAUUGAUAACCGAUGAAAAAUACAGACUGGGUAUAAAAAUCAGAUGAAGGCACAUAGAAAGACAUAAUCUAGUCAAACAAACAACGUACAGGACUUAGAAAUAUACAAAAAAAAAAA